rnacentral:lncRNA from 1 species
CCUAGAGCCAUUUGGCAAUGAACAUACUCUAAAAGCUUGAAUAAAUAAUUUUAAAUGUAGAGAUAUAUGUCCAGAUGACUUAUUUCAUUGAUCUCUGACUAUUUUGUAUAUUUCAAAGAGAAGAAGAGCCUUGUCACAAGCUGAAUCAUAGCCAUGGAAGAGUUUAACUCUGUGGCAUAUAGUUCAGGAUGCUAUGUGAACAUGAUAUCAAUCUUAAUUUAAUGUGUGGUAGAUGUCUAAUGCCAGAAUGUAAUUACCUACAUUGGAUCUUUACCAGAAAUUUAGUGCAAAAUAGCUGUCUUGGGCAAAGACAGCAUUGGAAAAGGGACAUAAUAAACAGGAGUUUGGUGCAGUAGUAACUUAAUGGCCCUGACCCUAGCUCAGGGCAGUUGUUUCCUUGACCUUUGAAAGGUGUCAGUUUAUUUCUGAGACGAUUUUAUCCUUCCUUAUUGCACAGCAAGUUGUUUCAAAACACAAGAAUUUGCUACUC